rnacentral:rRNA from 1 species
AGUCGAGCGGAAACGAGUUAUCUGAACCUUCGGGGAACGAUAACGGCGUCGAGCGGCGGACGGGUGAGUAAUGCCUAGGAAAUUGCCCUGAUGUGGGGGAUAACCAUUGGAAACGAUGGCUAAUACCGCAUGAUGCCUACGGGCCAAAGAGGGGGACCUUCGGGCCUCUCGCGUCAGGAUAUGCCUAGGUGGGAUUAGCUAGUUGGUGAGGUAAGGGCUCACCAAGGCGACGAUCCCUAGCUGGUCUGAGAGGAUGAUCAGCCACACUGGAACUGAGACACGGUCCAGACUCCUACGGGAGGCAGCAGUGGGGAAUAUUGCACAAUGGGCGCAAGCCUGAUGCAGCCAUGCCGCGUGUGUGAAGAAGGCCUUCGGGUUGUAAAGCACUUUCAGUCGUGAGGAAGGUGGUGUAGUUAAUAGCUGCAUUAUUUGACGUUAGCGACAGAAGAAGCACCGGCUAACUCCGUGCCAGCAGCCGCGGUAAUACGGAGGGUGCGAGCGUUAAUCGGAAUUACUGGGCGUAAAGCGCAUGCAGGUGGUUUGUUAAGUCAGAUGUGAAAGCCCGGGGCUCAACCUCGGAAUAGCAUUUGAAACUGGCAGACUAGAGUACUGUAGAGGGGGGUAGAAUUUCAGGUGUAGCGGUGAAAUGCGUAGAGAUCUGAAGGAAUACCGGUGGCGAAGGCGGCCCCCUGGACAGAUACUGACACUCAGAUGCGAAAGCGUGGGGAGCAAACAGGAUUAGAUACCCUGGUAGUCCACGCCGUAAACGAUGUCUACUUGGAGGUUGUGGCCUUGAGCCGUGGCUUUCGGAGCUAACGCGUUAAGUAGACCGCCUGGGGAGUACGGUCGCAAGAUUAAAACUCAAAUGAAUUGACGGGGGCCCGCACAAGCGGUGGAGCAUGUGGUUUAAUUCGAUGCAACGCGAAGAACCUUACCUACUCUUGACAUCCAGAGAACUUUCCAGAGAUGGAUUGGUGCCUUCGGGAACUCUGAGACAGGUGCUGCAUGGCUGUCGUCAGCUCGUGUUGUGAAAUGUUGGGUUAAGUCCCGCAACGAGCGCAACCCUUAUCCUUGUUUGCCAGCGAGUAAUGUCGGGAACUCCAGGGAGACUGCCGGUGAUAAACCGGAGGAAGGUGGGGACGACGUCAAGUCAUCAUGGCCCUUACGAGUAGGGCUACACACGUGCUACAAUGGCGCAUACAGAGGGCGGCCAACUUGCGAAAGUGAGCGAAUCCCAAAAAGUGCGUCGUAGUCCGGAUUGGAGUCUGCAACUCGACUCCAUGAAGUCGGAAUCGCUAGUAAUCGUGGAUCAGAAUGCCACGGUGAAUACGUUCCCGGGCCUUGUACACACCGCCCGUCACACCAUGGGAGUGGGCUGCAAAAGAAGUGGGUAGUUUAACCUUCGGGGGGACGCUCACUACUU